CAGUCGCCGCGGUAAUACGUAGGUGGCAAGCGUUGUCCGGAAUUAUUGGGCGUAAAGGGCUCGCAGGCGGUUUCUUAAGUCUGAUGUGAAAGCCCCCGGCUCAACCGGGGAGGGUCAUUGGAAACUGGGAAACUUGAGUGCAGAAGAGGAGAGUGGAAUUCCACGUGUAGCGGUGAAAUGCGUAGAGAUGUGGAGGAACACCAGUGGCGAAGGCGACUCUCUGGUCUGUAACCGACGCUGAGGAGCGAAAGCGUGGGGAGCGAACAGGAUUAGAUACCCCCGUAGUCCCUGUCUCUUAUAA
rnacentral:rRNA from 1 species